UACGGAGGAUCCAAGCGUUAUCCGGAAUUACUGGGCGUAAAGAGUUCCGUAGGUGGCAUGUUCGGUUGCUGGUGAAAUCCUGGGGCUCAACCCCUUACCCAUUAUCAAAACUGCCAAGCUAGAGGAUGAGAGAGGUUAUUGGAAUUCCUAGUGUAGGAGUGAAAUCCGUAGAUAUUAGGAGGAACACCGAUGGCGUAGGCAGAUAACUGGCUCAUUCCUGACACUAAGGCACGAAAGCGUGGGUAGCAAACGGG
rnacentral:rRNA from 1 species